rnacentral:misc_RNA from 1 species
AAAAAAAAAAAAGUCAAUUGUUGGAAAGUUUAUUUGUUAAGUGCACUAUCACAACGCAUAAGAACUUAACACAGAAGAUAUUGAUCCUCACUCACUUUUGAUGAAUGAAUGCGUAAUUCGAUUUCUAUAUUAAGGAAUGAGUUGUGAAAAAUUUCAAAAAGGAAAAUCAACUUGGUCCUUUUGAUUUGAAUAACCUGAACAAGAUCAAACACAAAACCCCAAGGAAGAAAAUUCUGUCCAAUCAUAGAACAAACAAUUUAUUUUCCAGCAUUGAUUUCCUUUUUGAGUGGCAAUUAGAUGUUACCAUUUUCACAACAAUAUCAUACCUCCCAUGAAGGACAUCCACAUU